UGCUGUGAACUCGAAGAGUAGGGCGGGACACGUGGUAUCCUGUCUGAAUAUGGGGGGACCAUCCUCCAAGGCUAAAUACUCCUGACUGACCGAUAGUGAACCAGUACCGUGAGGGAAAGGCGAAAAGAACCCCGGCGAGGGGAGUGAAAAAGAACCUGAAACCGUGUACGUACAAGCAGUGGGAGCCUCUUUAUGGGGUGACUGCGUACCUUUUGUAUAAUGGGUCAGCGACUUAUAUUCUGUAGCAAGGUUAACCGUAUAGGGGAGCCGAAGGGAAACCGAGUCUUAACUGGGCGUUAAGUUGCAGGGUAUAGACCCGAAACCCGGUGAUCUAGCCAUGGGCAGGUUGAAGGUUGGGUAACACUAACUGGAGGACCGAACCGACUAAUGUUGAAAAAUUAGCGGAUGACCUGUGGCUGGGGGUGAAAGGCCAAUCAAACCGGGAGAUAGCUGGUUCUCCCCGAAAGCUAUUUAGGUAGCGCCUCGUGAACUCAUCUUCGGGGGUAGAGCACUGUUUCGGCUAGGGGGCCAUCCCGGCUUACCAACCCGAUGCAAACUACGAAUACCGAAGAAUGUUAUCACGGGAGACACACGGCGGGUGCUAACGUCCGUCGUGAAGAGGGAAACAACCCAGACCGCCAGCUAAGGUCCCAAAGUCAUGGUUAAGUGGGAAACGAUGUGGGAAGGCACAGACAGCCAGGAUGUUGGCUUAGAAGCAGCCAUCAUUUAAAGAAAGCGUAAUAGCUCACUGGUCGAGUCGGCCUGCGCGGAAGAUGUAACGGGGCUAAACCAUGCACCGAAGCUGCGGCAGCGACGCUUAUGCGUUGUUGGGUAGGGGAGCGUUCUGUAAGCCGUUGAAGGUGUGCUGUGAGGCAUGCUGGAGGUAUCAGAAGUGCGAAUGCUGACAUAAGUAACGAUAAAGCGGGUGAAAAGCCCGCUCGCCGGAAGACCAAGGGUUCCUGUCCAACGUUAAUCGGGGCAGGGUGAGUCGACCCCUAAGGCGAGGCCGAAAGGCGUAGUCGAUGGGAAACAGGUUAAUAUUCCUGUACUUGGUGUUACUGCGAAGGGGGGACGGAGAAGGCUAUGUCAGCCGGGCGACGGUUGUCCCGGUUUAAGCAUGUAGGCGGAGGUUCCAGGUAAAUCCGGUACCUUGUUAACGCUGAGGUGUGAUGACGAGGCACUACGGUGCUGAAGUGAUAAAUGCCCUGCUUCCAGGAAAAGCCUCUAAGCAUCAGGUAACACGAAAUCGUACCCCAAACCGACACAGGUGGUCAGGUAGAGAAUACCAAGGCGCUUGAGAGAACUCGGGUGAAGGAACUAGGCAAAAUGGUGCCGUAACUUCGGGAGAAGGCACGCUGAUGUGUAGGUGAAGCCCCUGCGGGUGGAGCUGAAAUCAGUCGAAGAUACCAGCUGGCUGCAACUGUUUAUUAAAAACACAGCACUGUGCAAACACGAAAGUGGACGUAUACGGUGUGACGCCUGCCCGGUGCCGGAAGGUUAAUUGAUGGGGUUAGCGGCAACGCGAAGCUCUUGAUCGAAGCCCCGGUAAACGGCGGCCGUAACUAUAACGGUCCUAAGGUAGCGAAAUUCCUUGUCGGGU
rnacentral:rRNA from 1 species